GGGAGCUCGGGGGCGGCCGUGCCAGGAGGUCGCGUGUUCUGUCGUCAUGGGCCGUAAGAAGAAGAAGCAGCUGAAGCCCUGGUGCUGGUAUUGUAACAGGGAUUUUGAUGAUGAAAAAAUCCUUAUACAGCAUCAAAAAGCGAAGCACUUUAAAUGCCAUAUAUGUCAUAAGAAAUUGUAUACAGGACCUGGUUUAGCUAUACAUUGCAUGCAGGUGCACAAAGAAACAAUAGAUGCUGUUCCAAAUGCUAUUCCUGGAAGAACAGACAUUGAACUGGAAAUCUAUGGCAUGGAGGGCAUUCCAGAAAAAGAUAUGGAGGAACGGAGGAGGUUACUUGAACAAAAAACUCAGGCAGAAAGCCAGAAAAAGAAGCAACAAGAUGAUUCUGAUGAAUACGAAGAUGAUGAAUCUGCAGCUUCAACUUCAUUUCAGCCCCAACAAGUUCAGCCGCAGCAGGGGUACAUUCCCCCAAUGGCACAACCAGGUUUGCCUCCUGUGCCAGGUGCGCCAGGGAUGCCUCCUGGUAUACCACCAUUAAUGGCAGGUGUCCCACCCAUGAUGCCUGGAAUGCCUCCGGUUAUGCCUGGAAUGCCACCUGGAUUACAUCAACAAAGAAAAUACAUGCAGUCAUUUUGUGGUGGAAACAUGAUGAUGCCAAUGGGUGGAAUGAUGCCUCCUGGUCCAGGAAUACCACCUCUUAUGCCUGGUAUGCCACCAGGUAUGCCGCCACCUGUUGGUCCUCGUCCUGGGAUGCCUCCUAUGACACAAGCACAGCCUGCUACAGCACCAGGCAUUCUUAACAGACCACCAGCUCCUGCUGCGUCAGCACCUACCCCUCAGCCUCCUGUUACUAAACCACUCUUCCCAAGUGCAGGGCAGAUGGGGACACCUGUCACAAGCUCAAGUACAGCUUCCUCCAAUUCAGAAAGUCUGUCAGCGUCUUCUAAUGCUCUGUUUCCUAGCACAGCACAAGCUGCAGCAGCUGUUCAAGGUCCGGUUGGUACUGAUUUCAAACCUUUGAAUUCUACAGCAACAACAACAGAACCCCCCAAACCUACAUUCCCUGCUUACACACAGUCUACAACCUCAACCACUAGCACCACAAACAGUACUGCAGCUAAACCAGCUACAUCUAUAACAAGUAAGCCUGCUACCCUUACCACAACCAGUGCAACCAGUAAGUUGAUCCAUCCAGAUGAGGAUAUAUCACUGGAAGAGAGAAGGGCACAGCUGCCCAAGUAUCAGCGUAAUCUUCCUCGUCCGGGACAAGCUUCCUUGGGUAAUCCACCCGUUGGACCAAUUGGAGGUAUGAUGCCACCACAGCCUGGAAUUCCUCCGCAGCAACAAGGAAUGAGACCUCCAAUGCCACCACAUGGUCAGUAUGGUGCUCAUCACCAGGGCAUGCCAGGCUAUCUUCCUGGAGCAAUGCCUCCUUAUGGUCAGGGACCUCCGAUGGUGCCCCCGUACCAAAGUGGACCUCCUCGACCUCCAAUGGGAAUGAGACCUCCUGUCAUGUCGCAAGGUGGCCGCUACUGAUGCUACUACACACGCUCUAAUAGGUUUUUAGAAGUGAAGUAUAGUAAAUAUGGUUCGUUAAAUUGUGAAGGCGCUGGAAUUACAUGAACAUACCACCUUAAAGCCCUGCCAUAGGACAGGCUGAGGCAGAGUCUCAGUGUUGCCCUGUUCAGUCUGAGGCAAGUGGGAUUUAUUUUAUUCGUUCUGGGGGCUUUCACAGCUUUAUGGCUGUUGGAUAUUUAUGUCCCCAAACUUGCAGCAAGUUUGGUGAAGGCCCCUACAUUUAUUUUAAUUUAGGUUUUUAAUUCUCUUUUGGUAGAUGGGCUCUAUAUUAAUAUUUAUCUUUUUAUUAUCACUGUGUUUUUAAGAGUCUCGGGGAGGGAACGUGUUUUGAGAGGUUUGGGUACUGUUUCUCUUAAGGAACAUUUCCUUUGUGACUGGCCAGGGAGUCCUUCAGCGACGCUGUACCCCUGCCCCCUUCCCCUGUGUUUUAUUUGUGCUGUAUUUGUUCUGCUUUUGGUAAUGUGACUUUUUAUACAUGCCGCUAGUUCAAAAACUACAGAUUAAUUACUAAUUUUUUCUCUGGGAAGAUGUUAACAAAGUGCUUGAAGUACUUAGGUUUUAACUAAGAAGUGACAUUCCUUUGUCACACAGACUUGCAGCCUAAAUUACAGUUGCUAUGGAGGAGGACGUUAACUGCUGUAUUUGUAAGCUGCACCACAACAAAUAUUAAUGUAGAGCUCUAUGAAGAACUAGAGAUUCCAGUCAAUAGAAGAACAAGAAAAGAAAGCUGAAGUUCUUUCAGUUUGUCACUUUCAGGAAAAUCUUUUCAUUGAUCACUUAAAUACACUGAGCUUCACAGUAAUUUAUCUGUUGCAUCAGUGUACUGGAAAAAGAAUCAUCUUAUUUUGUGGAAACCUUGUGGGCUUGUUGCGUAUCCAAAAUUUGCUGAAGGCUAUGGCUAUCUGAAUUCAUUACUUUUGCACAACAACUGGCAAAAACUUCACCCUUUGUGAAGAAAAACAAGCUUUACUGUUGCUGCUCACUUGGAGUACACUGGUACACUAUGUAUUUCAUUUCUUCAAGAGUGUGAUCAGUAAUGACCCACUUGGAGAUUUUCAGUAAGUUGAAUUAGAGGAUAAGGAGUGGAUUUCUUGUAGGGGGCCCAAGUAGUCUCUGACUGGAAAGUUGACGUGUCCUCUGCUCACUGUUUCAGAGUAAUUACUGAUUUCCUUACUGUGGUGCUGCACUUAGGAGCAGUGCUUUAAGUUACACUACCACUACUGGUCAUUAUUUCACUUAUUCAGUCUCCAGGAGCAUUUGGCUUAAUUCUUCCCUAGAGUAUCUAAAGAAGCCAUUUAACUAAGUAUUCAGCAUGACUUGAAGUUGUUUAAUUACCUGAAUUUCUGAAAGACUCAAGAUGGAAAAAAACAUUUUGGAUGCAUUGUGUUGAAUUUUGUCAUCAGUUCCCAGUUAAGAGUAAUGCUGCAUGGGGUAGUUUUUAUGCAGCUACUUGCAUUUAGCUUGUAUCACAAACAUGUAGCUGACCUUCACACAAUUGCUUCAUUGUCUGUAACGAAGUGCCCUACUUAGAUCCACACUUAGGCUACCUCAGUACGUUGAUAUUCUGGUGAGAGCUAAACGUUCUCAAAACAAACUUCUGUUUUUAUUGGAGAUAAGUAGGUUCAUGGAAAGUAUGUGUCAGGGAUGCAGUUCCUUUCUCCCUUGAUGUUGAUCGAGCUGUGUGUACUGAUACUUCAGAGCAGAUAAGCCAUUUCUUCGUAUGUUUGCAUGGUUUCACACAACACAUCACACUUCAUAGCAUCACAGUACUAUGGAUUUUUUUUUUUUCUUAAAGCAUUUGGAAAAUUUCAAGAAAAUGAAUUUCACACUACUUCUGAAAGAUGCAUUUGGCUCCAGGAUAAUUCCAUAUGAAUUAAGGCUUUUUGCUCUAGGUUUUUCCUCUAGUUCAGACAUUCUUGGCUUCUACCUUUCACAUUGCUGUCCCUUUCUGUAAGGCUCUAAGGAUUGGACAGGACCUUUUCUGUUCCCUGUUUGGGUGUUGGUGGCUUUAGCAGGUUAUAUCCGUGUUACUCUGACCUGUUACCACAGACUAAUGUUUGUGCUUAAAUUUGCAGCAACUAAUGAUGUGCAUUUUCCGUUUGCUUUGUGCCUCGUCCUAAAAGGUAUGUGUGCAGAGUACUGCGGUCUUUCUAGUCCAGAGGAUGGCAUGAUGGCUCUGUGCUGAAAAGGUGCAAGUAUCUGCUCAGCUGUCGGAAUAGCUGCCCUGUUGUCUCUUUAAAACAACCUGAAAAGUUCCCAUUGAUUGCAAAGGGUUCACAGCUUGUUGUUCUGGUGAAUCUCUGUUGGUGACCUCCUUCCUGCCUCGGAUGGAUCUAAGGAGGGUAGUUCCAAAAGAAACUUACACUGUAAAUAGAAUUUAUUGGUUUGGAGGGUUGGUAGCAUUUUUACUGGCAUUCCAGUGCGUGCUGCCAGUAUUGCAGCAGUGUCACAAUUCUCUAUAACACACUGUGGAAUUUCGAUUCUAAUGACUGUCAUAUUUUAGUGAAUUGACUUUCACAGGCAGUAGUGGAAGCAGGUUUUGUAAAGCUUGGUUUUAUUCUUGUGGAGAGCUACAUGACUCUUACACAUUAGAAAUGACUGAAAUUCGGCUAAACUGAGUGAAUUUUAACCCCUGGUGCUGAGAAGAGGUGUGAAGGAGAGAUGUAGGAAAGUACAUAGCACAGCAGGAGUUCUGGUCAGCUUUGGAAUUGUUCUUGCCAUGCCUGAUAACUGCUGUGACCCUUAGUACUCCGAGGAGCAGGCUACCUCCAAACUCAUCUUUUCAAGUACGUAUAUACUUGCAGUCAAGGUAAUGUUAUCAGUGAAAUGCUGGCAGUUGCUUCAGAAGUGCAGUGAUAGUGAGUGCUGCAAUUUGCAGUCAGAACUAAGCGAGGUAAACAGGAGUUUGGGAGUGCGGAGGCUCCGUCCUGAAAGGGAUGGAGUGUGCAUUGGGUGGCUGAAGUGUAAUGUAUAGAGCUGAUUUGUUUGGGAAGUUCUGAAAAAACUUUUUGAUAAUUUUCUUGUAUUCUCAUUUUAAACAGCAGCUUUAUGCAAUCUUUUGAUUAUCAGAGAAUGCAGAUUUUUAUUCAGUCUCUACUGGAAAAAGAUAGAAUUCUAGUACAGAAUUCAGAGAUUCUGUUGUAUAGUGAAUGCACUUCUGCUCCGUGGAAGUUCUUGGGAGGUGUGAGGGAGCCAGGUGCCUCGGCGUGCCGCCUCUGCAGCCAGCCACGUCCCGUCCUGAGCUGUGUGCUCCUGGGUGUUAUCCUUCGGUCCUUUGUUCUCAGCGUCCUGAUGAGUCUGUGCUGGUGAGGACUUACAUUUAUACAUCGGAUCUCUGUUGUGAGUAAUAACACACCUUGUCCCUUCUGAACAAGUUUAUGCUGACUUGUUCUAUUGUUUUAGGCUCACCUGCAAUAGUACCAGUCAGCAACACUGCCGCUUCCAUUACAAUGAAUUAAACUUCUCCGCAAAUAAGUCCUGAAUGUACCUUCCUUACUGCUCAUCUUUUGAGUGCAAAUAACGUGUUAACCACUGCAAAUGAUCCCCAUGUUGGCGGUUACGGUGUAUGUAUGUGUUAGGCAACUACCUUACACCAGAUCCAGGUUUCUCGUGUCUCAAAUUUUAUCUUAAAUCUUCCCUACAUCUUAACCACAUUCUCAGGUUCUUUUUAAAGAGGGUAGGUGUCGAAUUUCUACUUCUGCUGCCUUAAGUAGUCAGUAUCUAUAAAUGGUUUUGGCUGGUGGCAACUUAAAAUUACCCCAAAGCAAUGCCGUAAAACUGCAGAAACUGUUUCAGUGUCCCAACUUAGGAAGUAUAUAAUGCUUUGAAAUAAAGAUGUCAUGCAAAGCUUCUUUCUUUCUCUUUGUCCCCCCCACUGUGUUGUAGAAGCGUGUGAUAUGUGCAGGCACUGACUUCCUUAGCUUCUAGUUGAAGAAAAUACAUUUUGCUCUUUCAUUUGUAAAGUCUAGAAUAAGAAAACACUUUAUGAGAGUAUUUAAUGAAGGACCCUGGCAAUGUAAGUAUUGUGAUUUCCUUUCUAUUUGUGUUAGGCAAUGGGGUUACCUUGUUAAACUUCUGGCUUGUGUAUCGAAAUAACAGAAAUGUAAAGGCAAAUUGAAAGUAAUUUUAUAGUUGCCUUCACUUCAUAUGCUUUUCCUAAGUGACAAAUUAUAGUAAUUGAAGUUUGGCAGCUUUUUUUAAUUGAAAAACUAAAUUAUGGGUUAAACUCCUUGGUUUAAUACAACUUGUGUUUUUGUCAACUAGCAGCAGAAUUUCAGCAUUUGCUACUUACUGGUAGAGAAGAAAUAUCCUACAGCACUGCCAGUACAGGUUAGUUUAAUCUGUAAGUACCUGAUGUUCCUAUUUGAAAUAAUAUGUUCAAAUGAUACCAUUUAAAUACAAAGGGAAUUUUGAUCUCUGAAAUGUCACUGUAUCUUUGUUACCUACUGCUGUGCUCAGUAGUGAGUGGAUAUCUAGAAAAUCCUUUGAAGGUCUCUAACGAUUUUAACUAUGCUUGUGGAUUAGGUAAUAUGUGCAAGCACUUCUAAGGGAAGUUUAAUAUAGAACCUUAACAGGUUGCCUUUGGUGUUUUAAAGAUCUAAAGUCAGUUCUUCAGUAAUGUGCCAAUUACAGAAGGCAGUUUUAUCAGUGAGCCAAUUACAGGAUAUUUAUUCUUGUGUUGGGGAAUAAGCAGUUUAUUUUGUAAGAAUUUGUAGCUGUAACAUAACCUUCCUUUAGUUGUUAAUUACUGUUGCUACCAACAGAAUUUCUGUUUCGUGUAGCUGGUAUGCUGGGAGCUGCUUGUUCUCUGGCUUCUAGCCCACUUCUAGCUAAGCCUCGUAUACUUCAUCUCCACAUAUCAGUGUGGGAGAUGAAAGUUUUCUGUGCUGUGGCUCAUAGGACAGAUUCACUGCUGGAUAAGCUGUGAAACUCUGUUCCUUAACUUACACUUGCUAAGUCAAUUAUCACACAGUGAAUUUGAGGGGCUUUUGGAAACCGUUGGUGGAUAAUUACACAAGGAUGUAGCAGUGUAGUAGCCAGACAGAAACGUUUUACUGGCUCAUGUAAUGCUCUUCACUAGCUAUGAGUGAAGUGACACUUCCAGCAGUAUCGCUUGUUUUGGGAUUUUGAACUUGUAUGUGAUCUUGCAGAUCUCAUCAAAGAAAGGUGAGGUCUCAAGGAGAUUCUCAGUGCUUAUAGUAGUUGGACACAAAACCCAUUUCCCAGAUCUUCUCUGUGUUGGUUUUCAGGCGUUUGCACUAAAUUUCUUUGUUUGCUAAAGUAGUGGUGUGUAAAUUUUAAUAAUUUUGCUUAGGUGUUUCUCCCUAGAGGGAAAACAAAAGUUGCAUAAUAAAAUUUAUAGCUUCUUUAUCUCUAUCUUCUACAAAUACAUGGCAUGUUUAAUAGGGAUUCCUUGCUGUGAGGCUGCUAUCUUAACAGACUGUGCCUCUUCCUUCUGACUUUUGUAGUUGAUCCUCAUUUAUUAAGCACUAUUAUCAUAACUAAGAAUAAGUAAUGGAUUGCUUUUGGCUGUUGGAUUACUAUUUGAAAUCUCAGUUCUGCCAAUGGAUGAACACUGACCUCUGCACUACUUGUACCCCAGCUUGGCAAUGAAUGAGGUUCUCUGUUUCAUCGACAAGCUGUAUCUCUUUGGGGUAGAUCCUAGUGUGAACUGUGGUAGGAUGUUAUCUUUCUGUGAAGCUUUAUGGCAAUUAUUUUUUGGUAGAAUUAAGUUUAUUUUCUUUUGAGAUGGGACAAAGCAGGAGGAGUCUGAGCUUUCAUAACCAAGUGGGCAGUCUUAAGAUGUAGCUUAGCUUCUGAUGCAGUUAAUGCAGCUGUCCAGUCUAAUGCAGUUCUGAAGGAAUAAGUGGGGGACAGGGAGCCAGUUAACACUAUUUUGUUCAGACUUCUGCUUAAUGACUUCAGUUUGCCCAUUCAGAGACUUUAGUUACUGUGCAGCAAACUUAGAUUCCUUAGACCACCUUCCUCAGGUAAAGCACAUUACUGAAAUAUGUCCUUCUCUGUAGUAGUACAGCUACAGACGUUAAUAAAUUAGGAAUGUUCUUGUAACUUGAUCCAGCUCUUGUGGAUGUGGUAUGAAGGGGAUGGGAUAAGUGAUCUGUGAUCAAGGGCAAAGUAUUGAUGUUAGAGUUUGAUUUCAGAAAGAUUGGUAAGUAUGUGCAUUGCUUUAGUGCAUGCAAGUACCAAUAAUUGUAGCUUAAUUUUUAUAGCAUUCAGUUUACGAAGAAGAUUCAAAGAAAAUACGGAGCAAACAUCAUUGGCAUCCCUUGGGAACCUUCUGUGAACUGUAUGUUUCAGGAAUAGAUAACUGCGCAUACGUAUGUAUAUAUAUAUAUACUGCUUUGUAACAGUCUCUGAUUAAAUAUAAGUGAAAUGCU